rnacentral:lncRNA from 1 species
GGGCUCACAAGAGCUGGUACAGAUUUGUGUUUUGCUUCUGCAGAGUGAGCCUUGGAAUGCGUGGUUUGACACCUAUCUGACCAUAGUGGGAGAAGUUUAAGGCAGAGACUUAUAGACCAUACAUUAGAGCUUUGGUGCAAAUGAGCACCUUGUAGAUAGGCUCUUUUCCCGUCAGUACCUUCAUGUCCCAAGCAAGCAGGUCCGGAAGGUCUGUCAGCAGGUUGUGAUGCCUCUAGAAGGACAAUGAUGUGUGGCCACCAGCCCUCCACUGGAGACUUCCCCUGGGCCAUAUAGGCACCUUUUGUGAAAUGUGGAGGGCACCAGUGGCACCUGGAUCAGCUGUAGCAGCCCCAGUGCAGGUCCCUCCAUCAUAUACAUGGGAGUGGUUCCGAGUAUUCUUUGAAGACGGGUACUAUUCCUCUAAUGGGCACUGUCCUGCCUCCUAAGAGGGAACACAGCCACAACUUUGUUCCCAGGGCAGGAGCCUAUGGUAAAGCCACCAUGCUUUUGGGAUGAGCACAGGACAAAAAAAUGUAUAUACAUCAUUUCCUUUGACUAAUCUUUGUGGUCCCAGCCCUGAUGUGGCUUCUGAAAGUAGUUGUUUCUUUGUGGAAGUUGAGAGUUUUACUUUAGGAGAGAAGAUCAACUUCCACCAGCCUGCUUUUCCCAUGUGUCACUGUUCUGGGUUGUGGCAGCAGCAGACUCAUUAGAAAAGCAGAUUGCAGCCUGACUCAUCUGCCUGCCUGAGUGAGACGUGCAGUAGACUGGGCUCACGGAUAGUGUGGUGCAUGCUGUCUGCUCUGUACACCAGAGGCUAUGGGUGCCUGCCUCAGACCAUAGAAAGCCCUCAGAGGAGACAGUCCAUUGUAGGGCAGGAGCUUUGUCCUGGAAUUUCCUGGCCUUCAUUUGUAUAAUGUCAUGUACUUACUUUAGGGGAAAAGGUGCUAUGGCCUGCCCUCUACAGGGCCUUUGUGCUCCCUAUACCUGGCCAGGUCCUCCCAAGGUCUGAGCAGGAUGCUGUAGACAGGUGAGCUUACCUGUCUCUUAUUUGGUAGCAUGUCUGCUAUCACUGUCCACGGAGGACACCAGAACCUGUGGCUGUAACGGCUAUCUAAACCUGCUCACAUUGGUCCUAACCCUUCUCUCUCAUAUUACAGC